GACGAACGCUGGCGGCGUGCUUAACACAUGCAAGUCGAACGGAAAGGCCCUGCUUUUGUGGGGUGCUCGAGUGGCGAACGGGUGAGUAACACGUGAGUAACCUGCCCUUGACUUUGGGAUAACUUCAGGAAACUGGGGCUAAUACCGGAUAGGAGCUCCUGCUGCAUGGUGGGGGUUGGAAAGUUUCGGCGGUUGGGGAUGGACUCGCGGCUUAUCAGCUUGUUGGUGGGGUAGUGGCUUACCAAGGCUUUGACGGGUAGCCGGCCUGAGAGGGUGACCGGGCACAUUAGGACUGAGGUACGGCCCAGACGCCUACGGGAGGCAGCAGUGGGGAAUAUUGCACAGUGAGCGGGAGCCUGAUGCAGCAACGCCGCGUGCGGGAUGACGGCCUUCGGGUUAUAAACCGCUUUCGCCUGAGACGAAGCGUGAGUGACGGUAAUGAGUAAAGAAGCACCGGCUAACUACGUG
rnacentral:rRNA from 1 species